CGCGCUGCGAUGCGGUGCGGCGGCGGGGAUGGAGGGAUGGAGUUGUGGCGGUGCCGGGCGGCGGGGGCGAGAGAUUGGCUAUAAGGAGAAGGCUGACGGCUGCAGCAUGAAGCGCAUUAUUACCUUGUGAUUCCAUGACCCUCCUCUAUGCAUCCCUAACUCUCGAAAGCUGAUUCAGCUUUCAGCUAGUGCUCUGGUGAGUCCUCUGCUGCAACAGAAGCUCCUAACUGGCAUGUGCUAUCUUUUGAGAGUUGCUUAUCUGCGGGGUAGUGUCUCUUUCCCAGUGACCAGCAGAAGAAAAAUCAUUGGAUUCACUAGCCGGUUUCAGGAGGUGCAGCUCCCAGAGACCUGCUCAGAGCCUUGUGCUUCGGGAAAAGAGCUUUGGAGGGCCCAUCUUGAUCCCACGUGGAGCCAGCUCCCUCCAGCAGGUACUCAUUGAAGCAGGGUGAAAGCAACAGUCCUCUGGGCAGCACCAUUUAAAGAGGAGAAGAUCUAAAGGAGAGACUUAGGGGAGGAAGGGAGAGGUGGCCUGGCAAAGAGCAUUCCCAGCAAUGCAUCAGGGAUAUUGGAUAACAGCAGUGAUGGUGGAGAAGGCAGAUUAAAAGAGAUGGAAAUAAUGUUUUUGGGGCAGCUGAGUUACCCUGGGGUGCUGGUGCGUUUGCUGUCAAGUUGCUGCCUUUGCUGCUCGUUAGCAAGAACUACGUUGUGUUUGGUGGAGACAGGUGAGUUCAUGAGGGUGUAUAAAUUAAAUAGACACUUUAUUAAGUUCAGGUAAUAGUUUUGGUUUGAAAGACUGAGUGGCUACUGCAAUGUCAGCAACUGCUUUAGUGCACAAAGGAACUGAAUGCUUUUUAAUUGAGUCAAAUAAAAUCCAAGCAGGAAGGCUCUUGAGCCUUGUCUGGAGUCUACAAUUUUGGGUUGAGCAUCUUUAAUUUUAGAAAUGUUGAUAAAACACAGUCUACUUUUUCCCUGUAAUAAUAUAAGUUCAGUUAAUAUUUGAUGUCUGUAAGGAAAAAGUUGAAAGCAGCGAGCUUGUAUUUUCUGGUUUACAAAUGGCACAUUGGGCAGAACCUUGCGACUGUGGCAUUGAUUUAAACAUCCUCACAAAGACACCAUGCAAUA